GACGAACGCUGGCGGCGUGCUUAACACAUGCAAGUCGAACGGUAAGGCCCUUCGGGGUACACGAGUGGCGAACGGGUGAGUAACACGUGGGUGAUCUGCCCUGCACUUCGGGAUAAGCCUGGGAAACUGGGUCUAAUACCGGAUAGGACCACUGCCUGCAUGGGUGGUGGUGGAAAGCUUUUGCGGUGUGGGAUGGGCCCGCGGCCUAUCAGCUUGUUGGUGGGGUGAUGGCCUACCAAGGCGACGACGGGUAGCCGGCCUGAGAGGGUGACCGGCCACACUGGGACUGAGAUACGGCCCAGACUCCUACGGGAGGCAGCAGUGGGGAAUAUUGCACAAUGGGCGCAAGCCUGAUGCAGCGACGCCGCGUGAGGGAUGACGGCCUUCGGGUUGUAAACCUCUUUCAGCAUCGACGAGGCGAAAGUGACGGUAGGUGCAGAAGAAGGACCGGCCAACUACGUGCCAGCAGCCGCAGUAA
rnacentral:rRNA from 1 species